rnacentral:rRNA from 1 species
UACGUAGGGGGCAAGCGUUGUCCGGAAUUACUGGGCGUAAAGCGUGCGCAGGCGGUUGUGCAAGACAGAUGUGAAAUCCCCGGGCUUAACCUGGGAAUUGCAUUUGUGACUGCACGGCUAGAGUGUGUCAGAGGGGGGUAGAAUUCCACGUGUAGCAGUGAAAUGCGUAGAUAUGUGGAGGAAUACCGAUGGCGAAGGCAGCCCCCUGGGAUAACACUGACGCUCAUGCACGAAAGCGUGGGGAGCAAACAGG